UCCUGCCGGAGGUCACUGCUAUCGGGGUUCGAUUAAGCCAUGCGAGUUGAGAGGGUUAAGACCCUCAGCGGACUGCUCAGUAACACGUGGAUAACCUGCCCUAAGGUGGAGAAUAACCCCGGGAAACUGGGGAUAAUACUCCAUAGACUAGAGCUACUGGAAUGUUCUUUAGUCGAAAGUUGAGGCGCCUUAGGAUGGAUCUGCGGUCGAUUAGGUUGUUGUUGGGGUAACGGCCCAACGAGCCUGUAAUCGAUACGGGUUGUGGGAGCAAGAGCCCGGAGAUGGAAUCUGAGACACGAUUCCAGGCCCUACGGGGCGCAGCAGGCGCGAAAACUUUACAAUGCAGGAAACUGUGAUAAGGGAACCCCGAGUGCCCGUAUACGCGGGCUGUCCAGGUGUUUAAAAAGCAUCUGAAGAAAGGGCCGGGCAAGACCGGUGCCAGCCGCCGCGGUAAUACCGGCGGCUCGAGUGGUGGCCACUAUUAUUGGGCUUAAAGCGUCCGUAGCUGGACCCUUAAGUCUCUUGGGAAAUCCGCCGGCUUAACCGGCGGGCAUCCAGGAGAUACUGAGUGUCUAGGGACCGGGAGAGGUGAGAGGUACUCCGGGGGUAGGAGUGAAAUCCUGUAAUCCCCGGGGGACUACCGAUGGCGAAGGCAUCUCACCAGAACGGCUCCGACAGUGAGGGACGAAAGCUGGGGGAGCGAACCGGAUUAGAUACCCGGGUAGUCCCAGCCGUAAACUAUGCGCGUUAGGUGUACUGGUGACCAUGAGUCACUGGGGUGCCGAAGGGAAACCGUGAAACGUGCCGCCUGGGAAGUACGGUCGCAAGGCUGAAACUUAAAGGAAUUGGCGGGGGAGCACAAGGGCGAAUUCUGCAGAUAUCCAUCAC
rnacentral:rRNA from 1 species